AUGGAGGUAGGAAGAGUGGAGCGUCUCAGAAGAGGAACAGUGGGGAGGGGAGCUGAAGGAGAGAGAGGGGGACCCAGACGGGAGGGUCUUCCGCUUCAGGCCAGCAGUAUCUGCUCCAACACAGAAUAUCUUCUCUUCGCUUCUCUCCUGCGAGAACCGCUCUCCUCCUCCAUUGCUGGGAGUGUUUUUCCCUGGGAAACAGACAGGUCCCACUUCAAAACCAAAUUUCUGAUUGUCCUCCCCAAAGUCUGAGAUCCUGAUGUCCAGCAGAGGGAGCUGUUCCACCUGAGAGCAGCCGUCGGUGAGGGCUUUGAUGUAAGGGGUGGUCUCGUAGCUGAGCUCUUCAUCGUUGGCCCCCUGGAAGUGUAGUGCCCUCUGGUACCCGCUGCCGCUCGUCAGGUCCGUCCAGGCCACCGAUCGCUGGCAGUGGUAGGUCAGGUUUUGAUGGGCCUGAACGCUGAGCAAGCGCAAGAAGCCCAGCUGGACAACACCCACGGGCUCUCCACUCAAGUCAACAUAUGACAACUACAACACAACAGAAAACAGUAAAAUAAUGAACUCGACAGUGAGAGUGAGAACACAAGCAGAAGUCAUUGCAGUUUAAACACUCUUGAAAGGGAUAGUUCACUCAAAAAUUAAAACCCUCAAGCUGUUCUUUCUUCUACAGAACACUAAAGAAGAUUUUUUGAAGAAUUUGGGAAACCAUUCCCAGACUUCCAUUUAAUAAAAAAAGAAUACAAUGGAGGUCAAAGGGGUCCAGAAACUCUUUGGAUACACACAUUCUUCAAAGUAUCUUCUUUUAUGUAAAUGAUGACAGAAUUUGCAUUUUUGGGUGAACUAUCCCUUUAAUAAUAAGCUUUUGGUUCAUUUAUGCAUUUUACUCUGUUAAAUGAUCCUGAAGUGAUAAACUCACCUUGCUUCCCUUUGCAAACUGACUAAACCAGGACCCAGGCUUCUCCUUCGGCCAAGUAUUCAUCUUCACCUAUGGCAGAAUUUAGGAU
rnacentral:lncRNA from 1 species